rnacentral:rRNA from 1 species
UGGGGAAUAUUGCACAAUGGGCGCAAGCCUGAUGCAGCCAUGCCGCGUGUGUGAAGAAGGCCUUCGGGUUGUAAAGCACUUUCAGCGGGGAGGAAGGCGUUAAGGUUAAUAACCUUGGCGAUUGACGUUACCCGCAGAAGAAGCACCGGCUAACUCCGUGCCAGCAGCCGCGGUAAUACGGAGGGUGCAAGCGUUAAUCGGAAUUACUGGGCGUAAAGCGCACGCAGGCGGUCUGUCAAGUCGGAUGUGAAAUCCCCGGGCUCAACCUGGGAACUGCAUCUGAUACUGGCAAGCUUGAGUCUCGUAGAGGGGGGUAGAAUUCCAGGUGUAGCGGUGAAAUGCGUAGAGAUCUGGAGGAAUACCGGUGGCGAAGGCGGCCCCCUGGACGAAGACUGACGCUCAGGUGCGAAAGCGUGGGGAGCAAACAGG